CAAGGAAUUUUCGUCAAUGGGCGCAAGCCUGAACGAGCAACGCCGCGUGCAGGAUGACGGCCUUCGGGUUGUAAACUGCUUUUUCGGGGGACGAUAAUGACGGUACCCCGGGAAUAAGGCUCGGCUAACUCUGUGCCAGCAGCCGCGGUAAUACAGAGGAGCCAAGCGUUGUCCGGAUUGACUGGGCGUAAAGCGCACGCAGGCGGAUGUGCGCGUGGGGUGUGAAAUCUGGCCGCUUAACGGCCAGGCGCCAUCCCAUACGGCACGUCUGGAGCAAUGCAGAGGUCGGUGGAAUUGCCGGUGUAGUGGUGAAAUGCGUAGAGAUCGGCAGGAACACCCAGGGGGAAACCAGCCGACUGGGCAUUUGCUGACGCUGAGGUGCGAGAGCGUGGGGAGCGAACCGGAUUAGAUACCCGGGUAGUCCACGCCGUAAACGAUGGCCACUCGGCCUUUGGGGGCGGAAUCUCCGUCCUUGGGGGCCUUAGCAAACGCGGGAAGUGGCCCGCCUGGGAACUACGAGCGCAAGCUUAC
rnacentral:rRNA from 1 species